UACAGAGGGGGCAAGCGUUAUUCGGAAUUAUUGGGCGUAAAGGGCGCGUAGGCGGCUUUGCAAGUGGCGGGUGAAAUCCCUCGGCUUAACCGAGGAACUGCCUGCCAGACUGUGAGGCUUGAGACCGGGAGAGGUGAGUGGAACUGCGAGUGUAGAGGUGAAAUUCGUAGAUAUUCGCAAGAACACCAGUGGCGAAGGCGGCUCACUGGCCCGGUACUGACGCUGAGGUGCGAAAGCGUGGGGAGCAAACAGG
rnacentral:rRNA from 1 species